UUUUAGAUUGUUGGACGUAGCCAUGCCGGCAGCGGGAAGUUUUGGAUGAGCACGCUCUGGAGUAAACUUUAAGAAGUCAGCCAACACGCCUCGACUGCAUCUUUUACGAUUUGAAAAGACAACACAUUUAUUUGCAAGGCUAUUUUCCAAAAAAGGAUAUUUAAAGAGAAACUACAUCUUGUGAGACCAUCUCGGCCAGCCCCGGAAGCGAGCUCAGCUGUCGAUGAAAUUUGGGAUCAUCCAGCCUGGUUGUAAGGCCGUCCACCAUGCAGGAGAAAGCCCUCCUUGUUCUGUCCACUGGGCUCACAUCGUCACCCGACACUUCGGACUUGGCCACAACAACCAAGCUCCUCGUAUGCUCGGGAGGAGGAGGCGAGGGACGGCUCGAGGGACGCGUUGGUGCUGCGACGGAGAAGCGGCGUCCUCAAGAGACGGAUAUUAGGUACACAAUUUAAUGCCGUCAUAUUCCUGAGCUGUAUCAAAAAUAAAUAUCCAAUACAAACAGUAUUUGCACACUGGGACAAGCAUCAAUCAAUCAUUAUAAAAGGUCAUUUAUAUAGCCCUCAAUCACAGGCGCCUCAAAUUAU